GUCCACAUAGCUUAACACAAAGCAUGGCACUGAAGUUGCCAAGAUGGCAUAGAACAUGCCUGCGGACA
rnacentral:tRNA from 4 species